rnacentral:misc_RNA from 1 species
UUUCCGUAGGUGAACCUGCGGAAGGAUCAUUAGAGAAAUAUGCAACCCUCUACCGUCCACCCCUUUGUGAACCCUCGCGUGAGCCGGUAUGGGCUUUUCGAAGCCAGGAAAGCUUGCGAUCUCCCCUAUAAAUACCCCCCGUAAAGUCUCAGAAUGCACCUUGCGUUAACUCGCAUAAACACAACUUUCAGCAACGGAUCUCUUGGCUCUCGCAUCGAUGAAGAACGCAGC